AUGAACGCUGGCGGCGUGCCUAAUACAUGCAAGUAGCACGCUGAAGGAGGAGCUUGCUCUUCUGGAUGAGUUGCGAACGGGUGAGUAACGCGUAGGUAACCUGCCUGGUAGCGGGGGAUAACUAUUGGAAACGAUAGCUAAUACCGCAUGACAACAGUUAUUGCAUGAUAACUGUUUAAAAGGGGCAACUGCUCCACUACCAGAUGGACCUGCGUUGUAUUAGCUAGUUGGUGAGGUAACGGCUCACCAAGGCGACGAUACAUAGCCGACCUGAGAGGGUGAUCGGCCACACUGGGACUGAGACACGGCCCAGACUCCUACGGGAGGCAGCAGUAGGGAAUCUUCGGCAAUGGACGGAAGUCUGACCGAGCAACGCCGCGGGAGUGAAGAAGGUUUUCGGAUCGUAAAGCUCUGUUGUAAGAGAAGAACGAGUGUGAGAGUGGAAAGUUCACACUGUGACGGUAUCUUACCAGAAAGGGACGGCUAACUACGUG
rnacentral:rRNA from 1 species